rnacentral:lncRNA from 1 species
AAAACCAUGGGGAGAUGGCAGAGCGGCCCUGGCUCCUGGGAUGGGUCUGCUCACCCUAAAUGCAGCGUGGGGGCAGCAGGGUGGCUUUGGGGUGAUGGAUUCAGCUGCCACGCAGCUCCGUUAAGCACGGCACGCCGCCUGACAGUGAUGCCUAAUGGACCCUCGCUCUGCACUGCUGGCUCGUGUAUUUCAAGAAAGACUUCCCGAAAUACACCAGUGCAUUGGAUCUCCUUUCUCCUUGCCUCAUCCCUUCGGCAAAGCGGAGCCCUGGGGGAAGUUAACAAAUUGAACAUCUGUCCUCAGAGCGACUGAGUGAAAAGAGCAGUGAAACCCAUGGCUUUUUUUUUUUUUUUCCCUUUCUUUCUUUUUCAUUUUCUUGUUCAUUUUCUUUUCUGGCAGAAUUUGUGGAGGGGGCGAAAACCCCUUUUUAAAGCUGAGUGUUCCCUUUCUUAUCAGGUGGAGCCAUCCUUCCCAAUGACACCCAUUGUGGCUCAUUAAUGGAAAGCCAUUAAAACUCUGGAUCAAUAUUUUCUCAGGAGAGAUAGGGGCCUAUUCAAUGCCAUUUCCCAGGAAAGCAAAGAAAUACCAAUGAUCCACGGGCAAAACGGAGCAGAACUGCUGAGGGUGCAACUUCUGCCCCAGCACCUAUGUGGGGGAUGGAGUGUCCCCAGCCGUGGGACCAAAUCCUCUGGAAAGGGGAAAAAUUAAAGGGAGGUCCUUAUUUUCAGCUCCUAUUUGGAAAGGGAGUGACCAGAUCUCUCAGAAUUUCUGUAAAUACAAGCCAGAAAACAGGAAACUGCAAUCUGCCUAAUUUAGUUCCUUUCAUCUGAGGAUUCAAGGCAUCCAACAGCAUCUCUAAGAAACAAGUAGGGGCUUUGCAGCUUGCAUGGAGGUACAGUCAGUUGGGGUUCUGCUUUGCAGAGCGUUGCACUGCAGCUCUCACCUAUCUGAUCUGCUCCUGACUUCCCAUCCCAUGUCCUUGUUUCCUCCUGAAGGUGAUGUCCACGCUCUUUGCCACAGUGCAUCUGGCUCAGCCUCACCGAGCGUGGGGGGUUGUUGAUUUAAUCCAUUAAUUGCAGGAAUUAAUUUUCAUGAGAUGUUGAGGAAAGUAAUAGGAAGAGCUGCAGGCUUCUUGCUGGGCGCGGGGUGGAGGGAGCGGUGCCUGAUUGCCAUUGGGGCAUCAUUUCUACAUACACAGCCACCAAAAGCAGUGCUAAUGGACAAGCCCAGCAGUGAUGUCCUCACCUGAAGUGCCCCGUGCCCUCCCAGUGGUGUGAGGGCUGGGGAGCAACAGGUUGGUAAGAGAGAUCUGGGAGGCAAGAGAUUUCCACGCUUAAUUAACUUCUCAAAUUAAUCCCAAUUAGAAACUCUUAAUUGGGAUGAUGGCUGUUAAUCAUCUUUCCACCUCAAGCAACAGCCUCACUAUCUUAACUUCAUCAUGAAAUCCGAGGGCACGGAGCUGUGCAGCCUGAGCACAAGCACAGCCCCAUAGGAUUUGAGGUCCCGUUGCAGGGUCCGAUCCCAUCCAUGGUGGGGGAUGGGUGGGGGGUGGGGGAUCACAGCCCCCAUGGCCCUAAUAUCACCGCUGCUUUGGCUGUGGCAGCCCAGGAGAGAAAGGUGCUGCCCUGGGUGAGCACACACUGUGCUCCAGCAUCUCCCCCCAGGGCUGGCAUCAAGGGAGGUCUGGUAUAAGUGCUGCUGAAUGGGAGAAUAAGAUCUCAAGGGGCCCAGUGAUGCUGGUAUUCCCCUUUUGGUGACUGGCUCAGAAUCCUCGGCAGGACAGUAGAAUAAAAUUCAUCUGCAUCCACCCA